GUAUGUAACUUAGAUGUUACUUACCAUGACCCUGGAUUAAAAUAAUUGGUAGAAUGGGCCUGGAUGAUCCAGAAACGUUAGAGAAAGAACUGAAAAAUAUGUGGCCAUCCAUAUGGCAAGCUAUCCAGUGCCUUAAUUUUAGAGAAAAUAUAAAAUGUUGAUUACAUUCUUCUUGCAAAGUAUGCGAGGCAGAAAACCAUUUUGUUUUUCGAAGUCAACUACUCUCUUGGUCACCACCCAAGCAAACAUCUGGGCUUUGAAGGAGGAGAUUCCUAUACAUAUGUAAAAGAAGAAAUUUCAGCCUGGUGAUAUCAUUAUUGAUCACUUCAUUGACAGGACAAUCACAAGUUCUCAGAUCUUCUAUGACAGGAGUCAUUCCUGUGCCAUAUUCCAAAGCCUAAACCAAGCUGCCCCCAAACUAAAGAGGUUCUCUGCAACUGCCAAGAAGCUAGGACUGUGAUGUCACUCAAAGGGGACAACGGACACAAAUGUAGGCCUCUGUUUUAGCUCCUGAGCAGAAAUAUUCUUGUUCUAUACUGAAGGGGUGGAUAUUAUACGACUACAAUUCCAGAGGUGGAAUUCUAGAGGUAAUAAGCUGGAAUUUACUAUACCAGCAUUGCCAUGGCUACAGACAGUGAUUGCUACAAGGAGCAUGAAUAUGCAGUUAAUAGAGUUUUGAAGACCCUGACAGAAAAUGCAAAUAAGAUCUUAAACUUACUCUUCACUUAUCAUAUCACAUAUAGGGUUCAUGGAAUAUUCAAAACCUCUUUAUUACGUGAAGAAUAAGAGCCAAUUUUGUUAGAUUACAAGACAUUAAAA
rnacentral:lncRNA from 10 species